UACGGGGGGGGCAAGCGUUGUUCGGAAUUACUGGGCGUAAAGGGCUCGUAGGCGGGUAAGUAAGUCCGUGGUGAAAUCUCUGAGCUUAACUCAGAAACUGCCGUGGAUACUAUUUGCCUUGAAUAUUGUGGAGGUGAGCGGAAUAUGUCAUGUAGCGGUGAAAUGCUUAGAUAUGACAUAGAACACCAAUUGCGAAGGCAGCUCACUACACAAUCAUUGACGCUGAGGCACGAAAGCGUGGGGAUCAAACAGG
rnacentral:rRNA from 1 species